rnacentral:rRNA from 1 species
AACGAACGCUGGCGGCAGGCUUAACACAUGCAAGUCGAACGCCCCGCAAGGGGAGUGGCAGACGGGUGAGUAACGCGUGGGAACGUACCUUUCAGUUCGGAAUAACUCAGGGAAACUUGUGCUAAUACCGGAUACGCCCGCAAGGGGAAAGAUUUAUCGCUGAAAGAUCGGCCCGCGUUGGAUUAGCUAGUUGGUGGGUAAAGGCCUACCAAGGCGACGAUCCAUAGCUGGUCUGAGAGGAUGAUCAGCCACACUGGGACUGAGACACGGCCCAGACUCCUACGGGAGGCAGCAGUGGGAAUAUUGGACAAUGGGCGCAAGCCUGAUCCAGCCAUGCCGCGUGAGUGAUGAAGGCCUUAGGGUUGUAAAAGCUCUUUCACCGGUGAAGAUAAUGACGGUAACCGGAGAAGAAGCCCGGCUAACUUCGUGCCAGCAGCC